rnacentral:rRNA from 1 species
AUUGAACGCUGGCGGCAGGCCUAACACAUGCAAGUCGAGCGGAUGAAGGGAGCUUGCUCCUGGAUUCAGCGGCGGACGGGUGAGUAAUGCCUAGGAAUCUGCCUGGUAGUGGGGGAUAACGUCCGGAAACGGGCGCUAAUACCGCAUACGUCCUGAGGGAGAAAGUGGGGGAUCUUCGGACCUCACGCUAUCAGAUGAGCCUAGAUCGGAUUAGCUAGUUGGUGGGGUAAAGGCCUACCAAGGCGACGAUCCGUAACUGGUCUGAGAGGAUGAUCAGUCACACUGGAACUGAGACACGGUCCAGACUCCUACGGGAGGCAGCAGUGGGGAAUAUUGGACAAUGGGCGAAAGCCUGAUCCAGCCAUGCCGCGUGUGUGAAGAAGGUCUUCGGAUUGUAAAGCACUUUAAGUUGGGAGGAAGGGCAGUAAGUUAAUACCUUGCUGUUUUGACGUUACCAACAGAAUAAGCACCGGCUAACUUCGU